UAUGACCAUAGCACGUUGAAACGCCGGUUUACUUACGAUCACCGAAGUUAAGCAACGUGGAGCCAGAUUAGUACUUAGAUGGGUAACCGUGUUGUAAGCUUG